UAGGGAAUCUUCCGCAAUGGACGCAAGUCUGACGGAGCAACGCCGCGUGAGUGAUGAAGGUUUUCGGAUCGUAAAGCUCUGUUGCCAGGGAAGAACGCCAUCUAGUUAACUGCUAGGUGGGUGACGGUACCUGAGAAGAAAGCCCCGGCUAACUACGUGCCAGCAGCCGCGGUAAUACGUAGGGGGCAAGCGUUGUCCGGAAUUAUUGGGCGUAAAGCGCGCGCAGGCGGUCUUUUAAGUCAGGUGUUUAAGCCCGGGGCUCAACCCCGGUUCGCACCUGAAACUGGGAGGCUUGAGUACAGAAGAGGAGAGUGGAAUUCCACGUGUAGCGGUGAAAUGCGUAGAUAUGUGGAGGAACACCAGUGGCGAAGGCGACUCUCUGGUCUGUAACUGACGCUGAGGCGCGAAAGCGUGGGGAGCAAACAGG
rnacentral:rRNA from 1 species